GGUAUUCCAGUGAAUAUUUGCUGAAUUUUAAUUUAGAUUGAAUGCAAUUCAGAAGACUGAGGCCUUCCAAAUUUCAAACCUCCUGAGAAAGUUCUUAAUAGGAAUGCUGGGUCACCAUGAAGCACAAUGUGACAUUGACCACAGAAGUGCCUACUUGAUCAACAAAACUACCCGGGCCCUUCAGUUAAAUACCUAGGAAGGAAAUAUUUCCUGGGUGCCAACUACGGGCAAGUGUUUAUGUUACAUAUAGAAGAAGAAUACAAAGAAGAAGAAGAGGAAGAAGGAGGAGGAGAGGAGAGGAAGGAGGAUGAGGAAGGGGAAGGAGAAGAAGAAAUAUCCCUAUAAAAGCAUCUAUCUUUACAAAGAAGGAGUCUGCUUUUACAAAUAAAGCAACUAAAUUUCAGAAAGAAAACUUGUCAAUGAUACCAAAAUUUUAGAUGGGCAAACCCAAGCCAUUCGGAUGAACAACUCCUAUCUCAUUGAAAACUAAGAUGACAUGUUCAGUAGCAUUCAGUUCCAAAGAUUCUAGUUAAUGUCUCUUAUUAUCUCAAAUGUCAUUGAUUAUAGAUUGAUAUGUGCUUGGUAUAAGGUUAUUAUGAUGAUUUUCAUUUGUCCUCAUGGAAGGUGACAGAGCAGGCUUGAUGUUUUCCACAUUGCUUCUCUCUGUAGAUACAAAAUAAGCAAUAUAUUGUAUUCCUUCUGCCUAAGCAUGUGGUUGGUAUAAUUUUUCCACAGACAGCUGAACUCAACAGCCUGUGCGUGGUGGUUCAACAGGAGUACAAAAUGGUAGGUGAUAAAAGUUGUUAGAAAAGAUUCCUGGGACUUCACUAGGCACUGCUACCAGAGCCACCCAGUCAGAUUACAUGGCAAGCUCAAAGGUGCUGCCAACUCUUACAGACCAGAUUCUUCUCACCUAGAAUUUAACCCACCAACCAGAUCCCAUAUUGCUCCUGAAUUUUAGAGACUUGGUGAGAAUUUUAUCAAGCCAACACUGCAGUUAGUAACCACCAAGAACAUUAUUUUAGCCAGCUAGCAAUUUCUUUCAAUCAUGAGA